GCCUCAGAUUCCUUUAUCACCCCCUAGGCCGGAGCUGGCGCGACCAAUAAGGUGCCAGGUCCGCGGCCUCCCCGCCACCGACCAAUCACGAGCGAGCCCCCCCGCCGUCGCCUUCCGCCAAUGGGAGAAAGCCCGCGGGCCGGGCCGACGAGGCACACGGACCCCACGAGCGCGGCGGCGGCGGCGACAGCGGCGGGCCAGGCAAGAGCACAACAUGGCGGCGGGCAGGACGGACCGAGCUACAGCAGCGGCCGCGCGAGGAAGUGAGACUCUAUUCCUAGCCCUGGCGGAGAAUGUGAAGAUGAGGCCAGAGGGAACAUUGAGAAGAAGGAUCUCAGAGAAGAAGGAAAAUUCAACAGAACCUAGGAAAUGCAACUGCUAUUGCCUGGGCCUUUGUUCCUGGAAUGGACUCUGCAUGAUGCAGCUUGGAGGACAUCUCCUCUGGGAUCCCUCCCCACUGCCCCCACCACUUCCUGGAGUGAAUGAGUCCUCUGUAGCCAUCAGGAUUCGCUGUAUCAGGAGUGUUCCUCUGCUGUCACCUCUGAUGACUAUUUUCCUCAAUUCAGAAUCCCCAGCACCUGCAAAAGGUCUGGAUCAAGAAGGGGCUGAGCAGGAACAGAGGAUUGCAGUUCUUAGGAUGGCCACGCGAGGGAAGUGGUGA
rnacentral:lncRNA from 1 species